CAAGAACUGUACAGCAGCAGCAGCAGUUCAGCUGGCAGAGGUGCUGUUGCUGAGCUGGGAGUGGAAAGCACAUUUUCUCUUCAUGAUAGAUGGUGUACCUGCACGUGGGAAGGUGAGAGGUGGUGACAGUGGGGGCGGGGACUCCACCAUGGGACCUAUUGAGCUGGGGUCUUCAUCCGUUCCAGCUCCUGGCCCAGAAGGAGCCUCACCAUGGCUUCAUGAUGGCCUCACCAUGGAACCCAAGAACACAGCUGCCACAGGACUGCUCCUACCCUCCCAAGAGCCACUCUUAAACAGCUGCCAAAUGGCAGCCAGCAACCUGGGGUGAAGAGGUGGGCAGUAAAUGGAUGUGGU
rnacentral:lncRNA from 1 species